rnacentral:other from 1 species
UAACUGAUGUACACGAUAUUAUUGUAAUGUCUUUGUUCCUAAUUUUUAAAUAGGGAUUAAGAAAUUUAUUACAGGUGUGCAGACCUAAAAUUUAGGUAGCCUAAUGUAUAAAUCUUAAACCCACCUGAACUAAUCGGUUCAAGGAAAGUAAAUAAUAACGGUACAUCGGUUUU